CGGUAAUUCCAGCUCCAAUAGCGUAUACUAAAGUUGUUGCAGUUAAAAAGCUCGUAGUUGGAUUUCUGCGGGGACGGAGCGGCCGGACGCAACUUGCGUCUCGAGCUAGCGCUUUCCCCGCAUCCUGCCGCGAACCGUGCUACCAUUAGCUUGGUGGCGCUGGGGAUCGGCUCGAUUACUUUGAGAAAAAUAGAGUGUUCAAAGCAGGCCACACGCCUUGAAUAAGUUAGCAUGGAAUAAUGACUAAGGACUUCGGUUCUAUUUUGUUGGUGUUCGGGACUGAAGUAAUGAUUGAUAGGGACAGUUGGGGCGGUCUGUAUUCCAAAGCGAGAGGUGAAAUUCUUAGACCUUCGGAAGACAAACAGCUGCGAAAGCGUUCCGCAAGGAUGUUCCCUUUGAUCAAGAACGAAAGUUGGGGGAUCGAAGACGAUCAGAUACCGUCGUAGUCUCAACUAUAAACUAUACCAGCUAGGGAUCGGUCAACGUUUAAUCAUUCGACUUGAUCGGCACCUUAUGAGAAAUCAAAGCAUCUGGGUUCCGGGGGGAGUAUGGUCGCAAGGCUGAAACUUAAAGGAAUUGACGGAAGGGCACCACCAGCCGUGGAGCCUGUGGCUUAAUUUGACUCAACACGGGAAAACUUACCAGGUCCAGACAUAGUAAGGAUUGACAGAUUGAUAGCUCUUUCUUGAUUCUGUGGGUGGUGGUGCAUGGCCGUUCUUAGUUGGUGGAGUGAUUUGUCUGGUUAAUUCCGUUAACGAACGAGACCCCAGCCUGCUAAAUAGCGCGGCUGAGCUUUGCUCGGUGCGAGCUUCUUAGAGGGACUAUGAUGCGCGAUAGCACAUGGAAGUUUGGGGCAAUAACAGGUCUGUGAUGCCCUUAGAUGUUCUGGGCCGCACACGGGCUACACUGGCGCCUGCAACGAGCAUAUCAGCUGGCCCGAGAGGGUCUUGGCUAAUCUUUUGAACCGGCGCCGUGCUUGGGAUUGACCAUUGCAAUUGUUGGUCAUGCAACGAGGAAUGCCUUGUAAACGCGAGUCAUCAGCUCGCAUUGAGUACGUCCCUGCCCUUUGUACACACCGCCCGUCGCUCCUACCGAUGAAUGUUCCGAUGAAAUUUUCGGAGAGCGCCAGAGAACGGGGCUCUGCCUUGCAGAUCUGGAGGCUCAAAGUCACUUAAAUCUGAACAUUUCGAGGAAGGAGAAGUCGUAACAAGGUAGCCG
rnacentral:rRNA from 1 species